GACGAACGCUGGCGGCGUGCCUAAUACAUGCAAGUUGAGCGAUGAAGAUUGGUGCUUGCACCAAUUUGAAGAGCAGCGAACGGGUGAGUAACGCGUGGGGAAUCUGCCUUUGAGCGGGGGACAACAUUUGGAAACGAAUGCUAAUACCGCAUAAUAACUUUAAACAUAAGUUUUAAGUUUGAAAGAUGCAAUUGCAUCACUCAAAGAUGAUCCCGCGUUGUAUUAGCUAGUUGGUGAGGUAAAGGCUCACCAAGGCGAUGAUACAUAGCCGACCUGAGAGGGUGAUCGGCCACAUUGGGACUGAGACACGGCCCAAACUCCCACGGGAGGCAGCAGUAGGGAAUCUUCGGCAAUGGACGAAAGUCUGACCGAGCAACGCCGCGUGAGUGAAGAAGGUUUUCGGAUCGUAAAACUCUGUUGGUAGAGAAGAACGUUGGUGAGAGUGGAAAGCUCAUCAAGUGACGGUAACUACCCAGAAAGGGACGGCUAACUACGUG
rnacentral:rRNA from 1 species